rnacentral:rRNA from 1 species
AUUGAACGCUGGCGGCAUGCUUUACACAUGCCAGUCGGACGGCAGCGGGGUAGUGCUUGCACUACUGCCGGCGAGUGGCGAACGGGUGAGUAAUAUAUUGGAACGUACCGAGUAAUGGGGGAUAACCAAUCGAAAGAUUGGCUAAUACCGCAUACGCUCUGAGGAGGAAAGCGGGGGAGCUUCGGGCCUUGCGUUAUUCGAGCGGCCAAUAUCUGAUUAGCUAGUUGGUGGGGUAAGGGCCUCCCAAGGCGACGAUCAGUAGCGGGUCUGAGAGGAUGAUCCGCCACACUGGGACUGAGACACGGCCCAGACUCCUACGGGAGGCAGCAGUGGGGAAUUUUGGACAAUGGGCGCAAGCCUGAUCCAGCCAUGCCGCGUGUCUGAAGAAGGCCUUCGGGUUGUAAAGGCCUUUUGUUAGGGAAGAAAAAGGAGCGGUUAAUACCCGUUUCUGCUGACGGUACCUAAAGAAUAAGCACCGGCUAACUACGUG